UACGAAGGGGACUAGCGUUGUUCGGAAUCACUGGGCGUAAAGCGCACGUAGGCGGAUUUGUAAGUCAGGGGUGAAAUCCCGGGGCUCAACCUCGGAACUGCCUUUGAUACUGCGAGUCUUGAGUCCGAUAGAGGUGGGUGGAAUUCCUAGUGUAGAGGUGAAAUUCGUAGAUAUUAGGAAGAACACCAGUGGCGAAGGCGGCCCGCAUGAUCGGUACUGACGCUGAGGUGCGAAAGCGUGGGGAGCAAACAGG
rnacentral:rRNA from 1 species